GGAAAUGCUCUCGUAGCUCAGUGGUAGAGCGUGGGAUUGCAGUGGUGCUAAGCCUCGCCAAGAAUGCUGAGCCUUGCCAAGACAUCCUAAGGUCAAUCGUUCGAUCCGGUUUGUUUUUG